CAAGGAAGGGAAAGCCGAAACGGAGUGGACGUACUAUUACAUUCUUGACAGUUUUCUGCGGAAGACGCCAUACUACGAGGAAAAGUAAGAUGCACUUGUGAAGACUGUUUCACCUCUGUUUCCGCUCGCACAGGGACUUGAUCUGAUUAACCACGAAUAUCCCACUGCCACAAGAUGGACACCUGCAGCAGGCAGAAGAGGCACUGCCAACCACCAGUGCUGCAGGCGACUGGUAUUUUGUUUCUUUCUGUUUACCUACUGGGACCUGCAUGUGGUACUCUGACAAAUAUUCCUUCAACAUAGAUAAAUCUUAUAUGCAGUUGGCCUAGCCCGUCGCCUGCUGAAGAAG